rnacentral:lncRNA from 1 species
AGUGGAGGAAGCCCCUGUGAAGAAGGCAAAGCGAUAAUCCUGAGAACCCUCACCGUGGCUGCUCCUGGCUUGUCGGGGACACAGUGGAGAGAAGGGGGACGAGCCUUAGGGGCCACAGGCUUUUUUUUUUUAACCAGGGAAAGGACGUGCAUGUGCUCUAAGUUCCUAGGUGCAAGCUUUUUCUUGUUAUGUUUUAAACAGCUUUAUAAACUAUUGUUCAUAGAAGAUAUUAUGUACAUUUAUUUCAGAUAAAGGAAAAUAAGUUUACUUUGUAUCUAGACUCAAAACAAAGUAGUUGUAUAUUUUAACAUUUGAAAUUGGGAUUUCCCUAUGCGACACAUCACUAAUGCAACCCUCCCAGCCCAUCAGACACCAGGCUGCGUCCUGGUGAUCUGUGUACAGUAUAUAAACAUGUAAAAAUAGGUUGUAUUUUACUCUAUGUAUGAUGCUAAUCAAUGAACACUUUAUUUAUUUUACAGAGAAAACUUAUCUGUGAACUUUACUAUAUAUCUGUUUAUUUUAUUUUAUUAUUUUUUUUAAUAAAAAAAGGGUUUUAAAUGCUAUGCAGUCAUUAGUAGAAAUGUUUUAGGACUCUGCCUGCCCUGUAACUAUCUGAAUAUGAUCUGGCAGGAAAUACAAAAUCUUCUCGCAUGUAUCCAAGUAAAGUAGUUUAGCUCAAGAAAGGAUCUCCAUUGCUUUUCUGUUCACAGGUGUGACUGUUUUUUAAGAAUGUACUUGUUUUUAGAUUAUACCCGCAUCAGUGACUUUUCUACCAUCCCCUCUGGCGUAGGAGGUCCCGGUUCAGGGAAAGUCACAUCCUGACCCUUUACCUGCGGCAGCAGCCCCUCCACCCGUGUUUGUACCUCUCCUCUGUACUCCUCUGAGGCGUCUCCCCUGUUCUUUCCAUGUCGUCUUUUCAGUGAAGACAAAUGCAUUGACAUUAGGUCACUUCUAUCUAUCAAGCUUCAGGAUUUUAUGUUGUUUUAUACACAAUUAUUUCAGGAUAGAAACUGGCUUUACUGCCAGAUUCUUUUUUAAACAUGUUUUAACUCACAUAUGAGCAAACUGUCCAACUUAAGUUUUUCAUAAGAUUAAACUUUUCUUAAGAUCAAAUUUGUCUCUAGCAAUGAUGUGAUGAGUUGCCAAAUAAUUGAGAUUAUUUUAAAAUGUUUUGUUCAUAUUCUUGUUUUGUAAUUAAAAUUUACAUUCAGUGUGUGUGAAUUUUUUUUUUGGACUUAAUGUAAGGUGGAUAUUUCUGUCAUUUUACAUGGUUUCUUACUGAGAUUUUAUAUAUAAAUUAUAAAAUGUUUCCCAAAACUUGAGUGGUAAGAAUUUUUUUUUUGAACUUUAAAAUUUCUCUCUGUGAAAACCAUUUCUUCUCUUUAAAUAAUUGGUCUUAAAUAUACAGGCACACCUGGGGGAUAUUGCGGGUUUGGUUCCAGACCACCAAAAUAAAGCGAAU